CAGCUGUGUGAUCCCUGCAGUGGUGUCAAACAAACAGGUCAGGGGGAGGUGUUUGCUCUCCACCCAAACAGAUGUGGGCCUGAAAGGGUUCAUCUAGUUCAAGCUGUAGUGCUCUCUGUCAUUCUCAGUCCAGUACAAUGUUCCUGCAAGCUGGAAUACUGCUUACAGCCUUUGCAGGCUGCAUCUCUGCAAAUGCAAUCACUUCAAACAGUGCUGUGGUCAAAACAGUGGAGGACUUUACCAUAACCCUCUCCUGUAACUACUCCUCGGGUAACUACCUACAGUGGUAUCGGCAGUAUCCAAGAUCAGAACCCCAGUUUCUCAUGAGUGUGUAUAGCUCUACUGAGGCUCAGGAAUCAAGCUCUGAUCCUCGCCUGUCCGGGAUACUGAACAAAGAGAAAACUCAAAUCUUCCUGAACAUCAACUCUGCUAAACUCUCAGACUCUGCAGUGUACUACUGUGCCAUGGAGCCCACAGUGAAACAAACAGACUCACUGUCAUACAAGAACCUGACUCACAGACCCUCAGAACUCCAUGGCAGGUGUGCAGUGGCUGGCAGAGAAACUGGGGUCUUCAGGCAGUACAAGGAUCUCAUUCAUUCUGGUGGCAUGUUUCUGUGGACUCAUGAAUCAGAAUGAAAUGACUUAAAACAGGGCUGAGGUCUCUACUAUGGAGGGAUCUGUUUAACCCUUUCCUGCCAUGAGUUACAUUAUAACCGAGUUUGC
ensembl:lncRNA